UGGAAGUAAUAAUAUAAUAUAAAUAUAUAUAUGCAUGAUAGAAAGGCAUCCACGCGUCGUUUGGUAUGGGGCAUUCGCAGCCGCGUGUUACGAGCCGCCCCACUCACCGUCCCAAAUCCGCCACCUCGUCUAAACCUUAGCUUGGUGGAAACCAAAUGAAAACACAGGUAGCUAGCUAGCUAGCUAGACAAGAAAGUUGCGAAAAUAAUGGUAGUUAAGAGAGCAGGUGGAUGUGGAUCCCCCAAGAAGACAAUGAGCUUGGUGGCUCAACGCCGCCCCCUAAUGAAGAAGACACAACAGUAUUAUUUCAAGAAAGCGUUUGGUUAUCUCUUCUCCGAUGACUACAUGUUUGCACCCUUGCUUUCAUCUCCUACUUCUUCCUUUGCAGGAAUUGAGGAAUCAGCAAAGGUAAAUGGUGAUAAGGAUUUUGUGGAUAAAGUUGGAGAUUAUUUGAAGUCUGAUUGUUACUUGUAUUCUCCAUUGGUUAUUAGCCAACCUUGGCUCAGUUCCAGUGCUCAUGCUGUUGCUAGUCAAAGAGCAGGCUUGCAUUGCCUCUCUGCAAAGAAAGACAUCAGAAGCAUAACUGAUGAGGAGGAUUUGUUGAAAGAAUUAGCUGAUAAAACAGAUAAGCCUGAAGUUGAAAAAACUGCAAUUAGUGUUAGCAAGGAGCAGAAUUUGAAGGGUCUUCCCCACGAUAGAAGCACCAUUAUCAAACGUAGCCGGGUGCACCGAGAAACUGUGAAGCACAUCAUAAAGGAUCUUCCAGAACUGCCUCCUUUGCCCAUGACAGGUUGAAUCCCCAAUCCCAAGGGCUCUCACACCCUAAUCCCGUAGAGUAUGUGGGAACAGGUAAAGAGCUCAUCAAGAAAGGUAUGGUUGAGGCAUGAAGAUUGAUAUGUGUAGCAAUUCAAUGUGAGCUUAGGUUGGUGGUUAUAGUUGUGUAAAUUAGUUUCUAUAUGUUAAGGGAGAGGAUCAUAUCCACAGUACAAAAAUAGCAAGUGUAAGGAAUAAAUGUUAGUGGCCGCCGAAAUGCUUGUGUUCAUUUGUGUUUUGUGUAUAUGCCAAACAAAUUCAAGAUAUAUAGAUUACUUCAAUUUCCAAAUUUCUUUAAAAUAUAUUCUUAAAAACACACAUGCCCAUAAUACAUUAUAAAAAGUUACACCACGCACUAGUUGUGCCGGUACUUGACGGCGCAAUACCCAACAGAGAUACACAAGGCCAUGAAACAGAUGUACUUGUCAAGAAAACGCCCCGACUCGAUCUUUUUGUGUUUUUACUCGAAUCGAUCAGACGUAUAAAUUAAAUCUGGACUUCAAUUCCGGCCAAAAGCAAGACGUACAAACUAAAUCUGGACUUCAAUUUCGGCCAAAAGCAAAACGGCGAUGAGCAGCAGGGUGUUCGGAGUUAUGAUGACAGCAAUAUUGUUGUUAUCAAUCCUGGUGGUCAGUGUGUGCAUGUGAAGUGCGAACGAACACGUACAAUCAAUGGAGCAAUUGCCAGGCGGUCAUCUUUUACAUCACUUUCAACUUUCAUGGCCUUGGGUAUAUCUGUCAAGUACCAGCGCUACUGGCCGGAUGGUGAUUGGUGAGUGCGUGGUUUCACUUUUUUAUGAUGUAUCAUGGGAUUAUGUGUUACGUUUUUAAGAAUAUAUAUAUUCUAUAGAAAUCUGGAAAUUGAAGUAA